ensembl:lncRNA novel transcript
GACAACUCAAGUUGCCCCAAGUCCUGGUGGUAGGCCAACACCCUUACAAUUCCAGAAAUGCCUCCUUAUCAGCUGAAAGCUCCAGCCCAUUGACAACUGCUUUCUGAAUUGUGAGGACGCUCCCUAUCCUGUAGCGCUGUGGAUGGCUCCUGUGGACUCCAGUUUAUCUCAGCCUCAAAGCUAAUAGAGUUAAACCAGCUGCUCAAUUUAAAGAGGAACUGAAGCAGUGAGAUGUUACUGUAUUCUGAGAUGGGGCUAAUAAACUUUAAUAGAUUUCAGCUAACAA